rnacentral:lncRNA from 1 species
GUUUCAUAAUACAGCUUUCCAGGAAAAACCCUAUUAUUUAUGUUUUGAAUCACUUGUAUGUAUUUUUUAUGCUUGUAUUAAUCCACACCCCCAUCUUUGUUACGGAGGUUGAUAUCAAACCAGUAUCUGAAUGCUGAUACAUAGUAACACUUAACUCUUUAAUGCUAGCUUUUCUAAACAAUUUAUUGACAUUACAAACUAAAAAACUGUUUUCUAUCAAGUUAUAUGUUUCUUUUAGUCAAAUGGACUUGUUCUUGUCAAAAUCUCCGUAACGAUUCAUG